GUUUUUGUAUCUUGAUUCUUUUUCUUUACUAUUUGUUCUGUUUAUAGCAUUUCGUCCUAUUCGUUUAGUGUUUGGUAUGCUUGGCUUUUAUGGUUCUGUUAUGGAUAAGUUGGAUUUCAUGAUAAUCACUUUUAACAGUUUUAAUCGGGUAUUAUAAUACGUAGUUGCUGCUACUGAUUCUAUUUGGUUGAGAUGUAUUAGGUAAGAUCGGACAUUUAUCCGUGAUUUCGACAUUGAUAAUAUGUUGUUAUGACCACCAAUUUCUAUUUUGAUAUCUAUUUUGAUAUGUCAACUUAAUUUUCUACAGCUUCUUUUGUAUGUUAUGGUAUGAUAUUCUAUUUCGAUGAAUGCUAAAGAAGUUGUUGCUGUCAUGAUUCGAGUUGCUGAAUUGCCGUAGAUGUUUGUUGGAAAUAAUAGGUAAUGAGUUCUUUCUAUUUGUACAGACCCUUUAAACUUGAUGUUGUUAACUUUUACUUAAGUUGUUUCUCGUUGUUCUGGAGCUAGCUUGAGUUGAAGUCUUGUUAACUUUUACUUAAGUGAUUUCUCAUUUGUUCCCAGCAUAACAUGUGCUAGUGAGUUCUUUUUUUUAAUUAUUUAUUUUUUUAAUUUGUGUUAUCAUGCUAUUUUAUCUGAGGUUGUCCAUUUCAUGUUAAAUUAUUUCAAAAUUGAAUUGCAUCUUAUGGUUACAAGUUGUUAAAUAUGUAAGACUUGGUGGAACAUGUUGCUUGGUUGCCUUAACAUCUAGUAUUGCAUAAUUUUCCCCCCAACCAUUUUAUGCUUCAUCAUUAUCGUCACUACCUAUUUCUAUCACCAAGAGGAUACUUGGACAUGUCUCUAAUGACAUUGUCAUUUUUAAAGUUGUUUGCUCUAUUUUCUACUUUGUUUCUAGGUUGGACUUGGAUGGAUGGACUGAUAUUGGAAUUAAUAUCCAAUUUUUAUUUGUUUAAAUUCUAUUUUUUUAAUAUUAUAUACUCACUUUUAUCAAUAAUGGUUAUGUUAUAAAUUUUAGUAAAAGGAAACAAGAGAGUCACGUGGUAAGAGUGGGGGACGACUCCCUUUUAUUGCCAUUUUUUUGUUACUUUUAUUUAUUAUUAUUAUUAUUAUUAUUUAUUUUAUUUAUUCUGUUAAUAAAUGGUUUUAUUAUUAUUAUUAUUAUUUAUUUUAUUUAUUCUGUUCAUUUAAUAUUCACACUCCAUUUUCC
rnacentral:lncRNA from 1 species